UUCUCAUUAGCUCAAAGGUAGAGCAGAAUACUUCUAAUAUUCAGAUUUUUAGUUCGAAAUCUAAAAUGAGAAU
rfam:Sordaria macrospora k-hell, WGS project CABT02000000 data, contig: 2.1583, organelle: mitochondrion